AUGAGCAGCGCUCCACCGCUCCCGCUCCUGCGGCGCGCUACUCCGGCGGCCGCAUCCACCGCUCCCGCUGCUGCGCCGUUUAGCUCCUCGGCCUCCCCGCCCACGCCGCGGUUCCCCCCAGGCUUCCCUGUGCCGCUCUGCGCGCGCCGCGUCCUGGUGCGGUCGCUCUUUCCCCAGCUGGAAGCCCCAUCCCCGGAGUCUGCCUCGCCGCCCAGAUCCGCGGAUUCACCGGGUUCUAUCGUCGUCCUUGACUCUCAGCUGGUGGAUCCCCCUGCCGUUGCUGCUCUGGAGACUGCGGGUGCUGCUCCCGGGGCGGGAUUUGUUGUGGAUCCGCCCGUCUUUACUGCGCUUGAGACCGUUCGAGCAGCUCGCAAGGUGAGGUUUGCCAUUACUGCUGAUGUGCUGGAUUUCACUCCCCCUGUCCCCAUUCAUGGCGCGCACAGGCCCUGCCUCAAGGCGUCGUCUCUCUCGGCCAUCAAUGCCGGCCGGCGCGCGGCGCUGAUGUCCCGUCCAAUCCCGUCCCGUCCCUCGAGCCCCGCGGCGCCGGGUGCGCAUUCAAGUGCGGCGACCCCUGAAGAAGGGUGGACUCUCGUUCGUCCACCGUACUGGUGGAGAGCUCUCGCGCCCAACAACCGGCAUUCAAAGCGGAAGUCGUCGCCUUCAUAUCCCCCCCCCCCAAGCCGCAGAUCCUUCGUCAAGCACCACCGAAGAACCUGCCAUCGCUGCUUAGAGAAGGGCCACUGCAAAGCUCAGUGUAGAGAUCCUUACAAGUGUCUGAUCUGCAAGAGAAGCGGGCAUCGUGCAUGGGAGUGCCAUAGCAAAUUGCCGUCCUCUGCUCCCCUGCAUACCCAACGUCCGCCUGCCCCAACUGCGUCCCCGGCGCCCCGCCUAAUGGCGCCUCCGAUGCGCAUCGGAGACCCCUCCGUCAGGCCUGAGGAGGGGCAUGUCGUCAUCACCACCACCCCGGAGAUGGAAGCCCAGGCUGCCGGCCUCGCCAGCCUGGCAGCGGUGGUCUGGCUGGGGGGCACCAGGCCCUCUGUCAGUGCGGCCAUCUUCAGAAGCGCCAUCGCCAAGCAGUUCAGCAUCGACCGCAACCUUCUCCGGGUAGUCCCCCAUUACCCGGAGGACUUCUUCGUCAGAUUCGACUUCCAGCACCACCGUGACACCGUGACGGCAGGGCCGGCAAGGUUCAGCUUCAACUCCCCUGAUCUGGGGGUGCUGGACAUCCACGUCACCAACUGGCGGCUCAGCGCCCACGCAGAGCAAGUGCAAGCCUACCACCACGUCCAUCUCUGUCUGGAGAACGUCCCCCUCAACGCCUGGGACGACAGGGUUGCGGCGCAGAUCCUGGGGCCGAAAACCUUCCUUCACUACUUUGACGUCGCCACAGUUCAGCGAGAAGAUGCCACUGCCCUCAAGCUUUGGGCAUGGUCUGCUGACCCAAACAAGAUCCCCAAGGUGCAGUGGGUGACCUUCACCAGCGGGCCAGGUGCCGCGGGCUCCAGCUUUUCCCCCACUCCUGCGGUGGGUCGGCAGGGCAUCGAGAAGAGGGUGAUUGUGCACCUAGAUAUUCAUGAAGAUUACUCCCCUGACGCCAACGACCAGUUCCCUCGUCGCGCCCACCCCGACAAGUUCACCUGGUACUAUGGCGUGGUGGAUGGCGAGAGGCGCAUUCGAGACAGGCGCGUGCCUGCUAAAGACAGAUGCCGCGAAGACAACGCCCGCGACAGGCGUGAACAUGAUCGUGAUAGAGACGACGACAACAACAGGAGAGGACGGCGCGGCGACCGCCGGUCAUCUUCCUGGCACGACCGCCUCUUCCGGAGUCGGUCAAGGGCACCUGCCCGCUCGGAGGACGACAGACGCCGCGACGACCGUCACGGCCGUGAUGACAGGCGCUAUGAUGAUGGGCGUCGCCAUGGGGCCGAGCUCCCCCCCCCCCCGGAUGCCAGGCGUGUGGACACCAGCCGGGUCCAGCGCCUCCCCGAUGGCUCGGUGGUCCCAGCUUCAGGGCGCCGGGCGCGUCACCGCCAGGAAGAUCACCAGGAGCGCCGUGCGCGCGAUCGCCAUGAAGAUCAUCAGGAGCGCCGCGCGCAUGACCGUGGCCGCUCCCCUCCCCAGGCGCAGCGCACCACCUCGUGCGACAUCAUCGAGAUCAGGCCAACCUCUCUGGUCCCAGGAUGGCUCAGGCGGUUGGGUCCCUGCUUUGGGGAAAGAGUCUCUCCCAUGCCACCGAUGUCAACACCUCUCAGCGCCCGGCUCGAAACCUCCCCUGCAUCGGACGGCCAUCUGACUGCUUUGGCUGCCCCUGACAUGCUCAACGAGGUGGCCACGUCAAGCAACACGAGCACACCCAUCUUCGUUUCGCUCCAGCCACCCCUCCUGACGGCCCCAAGCUCCACCCCCCCACAACCUCCAGUAGCCAGACGCAAGACCCUUGCUGGUGUGGUCGACUUCGCUCUUGGAAGGCGCAGCCCACGCCUCAAAGCAAAGAAACACACCAUGCCCAUUGCGCAGAUGGCGGAGCGCCUUCUCUGUCAGAGGUUGGGCAUUGUUGGUGAAGGUGAGAUGAUCACUGAAGAUGCGAUCAGCAAGUAUGUUGCCCUGUUCAAUGGCCAGCUGCCUGAUCUCGCGGUUGCUGCUCUGCGAGCUCUCUUCCAGAUGGAUUGUGAUCUUGAUGGUGCAGUGGAAGAUGCCCUCAUCCAGCAUGGUGGAGACACGGGUCCCGGCAUGAGGACUCAAGCCAGCGACGACGCCACAGUGGCGUAA
rnacentral:rRNA from 1 species